UUUCCGUAGGUGAACCUGCGGAAGGAUCAUUAUUGAAUGAAACACUUCUGGCUUUAUGCUGUUGUGCUGGCCCUUGGGCAAUGUGCACACGGCUCUGGUCACUUGUUUCUUCUGUUCCACCUGUGCACUGCCUGUAGACACGCUGUGUCUAUGAUAUUUGUUAACACACAACAAUGUUAGUUGGCAUGUUAUAUAUAAUAAUAAAAUAUACAACUUUCAACAACGGAUCUCUUGGCUCUC
rnacentral:misc_RNA from 1 species